CUGCAUUGGCAGCUUUAUCUACUUUCUGGAGGCCUGAAUGCACGGUUGGUGGGGACAAUGGUCAGCAAGUUACAGUGCAUGAUCCUGAGGUUAGGGAUCCACUUCCUCUUACGAUACACCAUAUGCCCAUAGCUGUAACAUUUGCAUAUUUUGGUGAAGGUAACAUCGUGGUUCUUGAUCCCACAUACAAGGAAGAAGCAGUAAUGGGAGAGAGGAUGACUGCUAUAGUUAACUCAAAUGGGGAUGUUUGUGCCAUUCAGAAAGCUGGUGGAGAGGGUCUCAUGUCAA